ACUUCGGUUCUGAUGGCGACCGGCGCACGGGUGAGUAACGCGUACACUACCUACCUUUAACAGAGGGAUAGCCCUGGGAAACUGGGAUUAAUACCACAUAGUAUUGCAUAUUUUAUUUUUAUGCAAUUAAAGCUCCGGCGGUUAAAGAUGGGUGUGCGUUAGAUUAGCUAGUUGGUAAGGUAAUGGCUUACCAAGGCUACGAUCUAUAGGGGGCGUGAGAGCGUGGACCCCCACACGGGUACUGAGACACGGACCCGACUCCUACGGGAGGCAGCAGUAAGGAAUAUUGGACAAUGGGCGCAAGCCUGAUCCAGCCAUCCCGCGUGAAGGAUGACGGCCCUAUGGGUUGUAAACUUCUUUUAUUA
rnacentral:rRNA from 1 species